GACGAACGCUGGCUGUGUGCCUAAUACAUGCAAGUAGAACGCUGAAGAGAGGAGCUUGCUCUUCUUGGAUGAGUUGCGAACGGGUGAGUAACGCGUAGGUAACCUGCCUUGUAGCGGGGGAUAACUAUUGGAAACGAUAGCUAAUACCGCAUAACAAUGGAUGACACAUGUCAUUUAUUUGAGAGGGGCAAUUGCUCCACUACAAGAUGGACCUGCGUUGUAUUAGCUAGUAGGUGAGGUAACGGCUCACCUAGGCGACGAUACAUAGCCGACCUGAGAGGGUGAUCGGCCACACUGGGACUGAGACACGGCCCAGACUCCUACGGGAGGCAGCAGUAGGGAAUCUUCGGCAAUGGGGGCAACCCUGACCGAGCAACGCCGCGUGAGUGAAGAAGGUUUUCGGAUCGUAAAGCUCUGUUGUAAGUCAAGAACGAGUGUGAGAGUGGAAAGUUCACACUGUGACGGUAGCUUACCAGAAAGGGACGGCUAACUACGUGCCAGCAGCCGCGGUAAUACGUAGGUCCCGAGCGUUGUCCGGAUUUAUUGGGCGUAAAGCGAGCGCAGGCGGUUUGAUAAGUCUGAAGUUAAAGGCUGUGGCUCAACCAUAGUUCGCUUUGGAAACUGUCAAACUUGAGUGCAGAAGGGGAGAGUGGAAUUCCAUGUGUAGCGGUGAAAUGCGUAGAUAUAUGGAGGAACACCGGUGGCGAAAGCGGCUCUCUGGUCUGUAACUGACGCUGAGGCUCGAAAGCGUGGGGAGCGAACAGGAUUAGAUACCCUGGUAGUCCACGCCGUAAACGAUGAGUGCUAGGUGUUGGAUCCUUUCCGGGAUUCAGUGCCGCAGCUAACGCAUUAAGCACUCCGCCUGGGGAGUACGACCGCAAGGUUGAAACUCAAAGGAAUUGACGGGGGCCCGCACAAGCGGUGGAGCAUGUGGUUUAAUUCGAAGCAACGCGAAGAACCUUACCAGGUCUUGACAUCCCGAUGCUAUUUCUAGAGAUAGAAAGUUACUUCGGUACAUCGGUGACAGGUGGUGCAUGGUUGUCGUCAGCUCGUGUCGUGAGAUGUUGGGUUAAGUCCCGCAACGAGCGCAACCCCUAUUGUUAGUUGCCAUCAUUCAGUUGGGCACUCUAGCGAGACUGCCGGUAAUAAACCGGAGGAAGGUGGGGAUGACGUCAAAUCAUCAUGCCCCUUAUGACCUGGGCUACACACGUGCUACAAUGGUUGGUACAACGAGUUGCGAGUCGGUGACGGCAAGCUAAUCUCUUAAAGCCAAUCUCAGUUCGGAUUGUAGGCUGCAACUCGCCUACAUGAAGUCGGAAUCGCUAGUAAUCGCGGAUCAGCACGCCGCGGUGAAUACGUUCCCGGGCCU
rnacentral:rRNA from 1 species